CUCUUCUCUCGCGGACUCACAACUUCUCUCUCUCUCUCUCUCGCAGACACAGAUCGAUGGCCUCAAUCUCUUCGCCGCAGCUCCUUACCUUCACCGCUGCCGUAUGUCCACCACCUUUGUCGCUGCCGAUCCACUGCCGUCCAGAUCGAUGUCGUCGGUCUCGGAGUUCACAGCAACUUCGUCCGAUUUAUCAAAUCCAAACCCCUCUACGCCGUUGCAAACCCUAGCCUUACUCUCCCACAACGUCUUCGCCUCCGCUGCCAUCUCCGUCGUCCGCCACUCCUUGCUUUCAAAAUCUCAUUUUCAGGCUUCUUCAAAGUAAAACUCGCAUCCAGAUAUGGCUUUUCGAGAAGAUGGACUUGAGGAUUGAAGGGCGCAUUAUUGUAUGCUUUUUUGUUGAGAAACAUAUUGCAACAGAUAAAAAAAA